rnacentral:rRNA from 1 species
GACGAACGCUGGCGGCGUGCCUAAUACAUGCAAGUAGGACGCAGUUGCGAACGGGUGAGGAACGCGUAGGUAACUGCCUAUUAGAGGGGGAUAACUAUUGGAAACGAUAGCUACUACCGCAUACUAGUAGAUGGACCUGCGUUGUAUUAGCUAGUCGGUAGGGUAAUGGCCUACCUAGGCGACGAUACAUAGCCGACCUUGGAGGGUGGUCGGCGACAAUGGGACUGAGAGACGGCCCAGACGCCUACGGGGGGCAGCAGUAGGGAAUCUUCGGCAAUGGGGGGAAACCUGACCGAGCGACGCCGCGUGAGUGUAGAGGAUUUUCGGGUCGUAAAGCUCUGUUGUUGAGGAGGCGGUACUUAACCGGAGAGGGACGGCUAACUACGUGCCAGCAGCCGCGGGAAUUC